ACUGUGGGCCAGGCUGUUAAUUAAUGAGGUUUAAUUAAUGAACUCUCAGUGGUUGUGGGGCCGGGCGCGGGCGCGGCCGCGGGGCGCAGGCAGUGACUGUGGGGCCAGGCCGUUAAUUAACGAGGUUUAAUUAAUGAAGCCUCAGUGGUUGUGGGGCCGGGCGCGGGCACGGCCGCGGGGCGCAGGCAGUGACUGUGGGGCCAGGCUGUUAAUUAAGGAGGUUUAAUUAAUGAACCAAUGCCCUCAGUGGUUGUGGGGCCGGGCGCGGCCGCGGGGCGCAGGCAGUGACUGUGGGCCAGGCCGUUAAUUAAUGAGGUUUAAUUAAUGAACUCUCAGUGGUUGUGGGGCCGGGCGCGGGCGCGGCCGCGGGGCGCAGGCAGUGACUGUGGGCCAGGCUGUUAAUUAACAAGGUUUAAUUAA